rnacentral:SRP_RNA from 1 species
AAUGCACGCUACCAGCACCUGCUGUACUACCAGACGGACGUCUACUACCGCCAGUA